UACGUAGGGUGCAAGCGUUAAUCGGAAUUACUGGGCGUAAAGCGUGCGCAGGCGGUUUUGUAAGUUUGUCGUGAAAUCCCCGGGCUCAACCCGGGAACUGCGUCCGAUACUGGAAGGCUUGAAUCCGGGAGAGGGAUGCGGAAUUCCAGGUGUAGCGGUGAAAUGCGUAGAUAUCUGGAGGAACACCGGUGGCGAAGGCGGCAUCCUGGACCGGUAUUGACGCUGAGGCGCGAAAACCAGGGGAGCAAACGGGG
rnacentral:rRNA from 1 species